ACUGAGAAGUUAUCCGUGCAAAUCGGAUCAUUUUGAAACCCAACAGCUAGCUUACCCCCCCAAAAACAAAUAACCC
rnacentral:tRNA from 1 species